rnacentral:tRNA from 17 species
GGUGGUUUAGUUGGUUAAUAGCUUCGCUCUCAACCGAGUGAUCAUGGGUUCGACUCCCUUCCUA